AUUGAACGCUGGCGGCAGGCUUAACACAUGCAAGUCGAGCGGGGUGAUGGUGCUUGCGCUAUCACUUAGCGGCGGACGGGUGAGUAAUGCUUAGGAAUCUGCCUAUUAGUGGGGGACAACAUCUCGAAAGGGAUGCUAAUACCGCAUACGUCCUACGGGAGAAAGCAGGGGAUCACUUGUGACCUUGCGCUAAUAGAUGAGCCUAAGUCGGAUUAGCUAGUUGGUGGGGUAAAGGCCUACCAAGGCGACGAUCUGUAGCGGGUCUGAGAGGAUGAUCCGCCACACUGGGACUGAGACACGGCCCAGACUCCUACGGGAGGCAGCAGUGGGGAAUAUUGGACAAUGGGGGGAACCCUGAUCCAGCCAUGCCGCGUGUGUGAAGAAGGCCUUAUGGUUGUAAAGCACUUUAAGCGAGGAGGAGGCUCUUUUGGUUAAUACCCAAGAUGAGUGGACGUUACUCGCAAAAUAAGCACCGGCUAACUCUGUGCCAGCAGCCGCGGUAA
rnacentral:rRNA from 1 species